rnacentral:rRNA from 1 species
AUUGAACGCUGGCGGCAUGCUUUACACAUGCAAGUCGAACGGUAACAGGCCUUCGGGUGCUGACGAGUGGCGAACGGGUGAGUAAUGCAUCGGAACGUGCCCAAUCGUGGGGGAUAACGUAGCGAAAGUUACGCUAAUACCGCAUAAGCCCUGAGGGGGAAAGCAGGGGAUCGCAAGACCUUGCGCGAAUGGAGCGGCCGAUGUCAGAUUAGCUAGUUGGUGGGGUAAAGGCCUACCAAGGCGACGAUCUGUAGCGGGUCUGAGAGGAUGAUCCGCCACACUGGGACUGAGACACGGCCCAGACUCCUACGGGAGGCAGCAGUGGGGAAUUUUGGACAAUGGGCGCAAGCCUGAUCCAGCCAUGCCGCGUGCGGGACGAAGGCCUCGGUUGUAACCGCUUCAGCCGGGAGAAACGGACACUCUCUAAUAUAGGUGUGGAUGACGGUACCGG